GUACACGCUGUGACUAGCAUAUCAAUAAGCGGAGGAAAAGAAACUAACAAGGAUUCCCCUAGUAACGGCGAGUGUAAGCGGGAAGAGCUCAAAUUUGAAAUCUUAAAGGGUUUCCCUUUACGAAUUGUAGUUUAAAGAAGUGUUUUCUGUUGAGGUUUUGGUAAAAGUUCUUUGGAAUAGGACAUCAUAGAGGGUGAGAAUCCCGUAUUUGACCUUUACUUUCAACUUUGUGAUACACUUUCAAAGAGUCGGAUUGUUUGGGAAUGCAGUCCAAAAUGGGUGGUAAAUUUCAUCUAAAGCUAAAUAUUGGCGAGAGACCGAUAGCGAACAAGUACCGUGAGGGAAAGAUGAAAAGAACUUUGAAAAGAGAGUUAAACAGUACGUGAAAUUGUCAAAAGGGAAGCGUUUGACACCAGUGUUGUUUUUCUGAAAAUCAAUUAAAGAACUGUUUAUGCUAAGUUGUUUAGACUUUAUCAGCUAUCUGUUUAGUUUUGAGCUUUUCUUUAAUGCACUUUUCAGUUAACAAGUCAACAUCAAUUUCUUUUGCUGUAAAAAAGCUUGAGGAAGGUGGCUUGAGAUUCGUCUUAAGUGUUUAUAGCCUCUUGCCUAUGCAGUCGGAGAGAUUGAGGUCUGCAGCGUAGAUCCUUCGGGGCUAAAUGCAUUUGUGCUAAGUUAUAGCAUUUUAUAGACAACUUGUUGACUAUGAUUUGUCUUGUAGCUUACUCGCUUAUGUUAUUUUACCUACGCUUAGGAUGUUGAGUCGUAGAGCACGCAG
rnacentral:rRNA from 1 species